UACGUAGGGGCCUAGCGUUGUCCGGAAUUAUUGGGCGUAAAGAGCUCGUAGGCGGUGUGUCACGUCGUUCGUGAAAACCUGCAGCUUAACUGUGGGCGUGCGGUCGAUACGGGCAUCACUGGAGUUCGGCAGGGGAGACUGGAAUUCCUGGUGUAGCGGUGAAAUGCGCAGAUAUCAGGAGGAACACCGGUGGCGAAGGCGGGUCUCUGGGCCGAUACUGACGCUGAGGAACGAAAGCUAGGGGAGCAAACAGG
rnacentral:rRNA from 1 species